CCGGAGCGGUGGAGCCCAGGUUUCCUCCUGCCCCGGAGAGGAGCCAUUUGGUGAGGGCAACCGGGAAGGCCCUGCCCCUCCCCCCGCCCAGCCGCCAUGCUCGGCGCGGCCUCCCCGCCCGGCCGCGGGGGAAGGCGAGGGGCAGGGCAAAGGCCGCAGGAAACGGCGCCCCUCAGAAAGGGAGGAAUCCAUCUGUGAGACAGCAAAGCAGAACAGAAGCUUUUCAAAAUAAGAAGAGAAGCUGAAGCCUCUGAUGUAUGUGUCAAGCCUGUCAGCGACGAGAAAGACAUAUCAGAAGGCAGCACUGUCACUGUCAAAGUGGGAAGCAGGCUAAGUAAGAUGCUGGCAUGUGACAUGCUUGUCACUGCAAGUGCCAUAAACUGAGCAAUGCAUAUGAGCUAGACAUAUUUUAUCAUUGGGCAGUAUACAUUUUACUGUUAUAGACAUACUUUGGGUAAUAGAAAAAAUAUUGAACAUAUAUAGAACAUCUAGACAGAUUAUAUUAUCUUUGUCUUUUGAACUUCAGAUGCAAAAGCUGUGAGCAUGCAAAUAUAUAUGCUUUUGGUGGGCUUUCUAUCACCUAUUUUCAGCCAUUUAAAAUUGAUAUGUUGUUAUAAAUCAAAUGUAAAUCGAAUGUAAAUCAAAUGUGUAAAUCAAAGAAUUAAAAGCAUAUUGCUACA